GUGAGGAAUAUUGCGCAAUGGAGGCAACUCUGACGCAGCCAUGCCGCGUGCAGGAAGAAGGCGCUACGCGUUGUAAACUGCUUUUAACCGGGAAGAAACCCCAGGACGUGUCCUGGGUUGACGGUACCGGAGGAAUAAGCACCGGCUAACUUCGUGCCAGCAGCCGCGGUAAUACGAAGGGUGCAAGCGUUAUCCGGAUUCAUUGGGUUUAAAGGGUGCGUAGGCGGAGCGUUAAGUCAGGGGUGAAAUCCUGCAGCUUAACUGUAGACUUGCCAUUGAUACUGGCGCUCUUGAGUGCGCUUGAAGUGGGCGGAAUGUGCCGUGUAGCGGUGAAAUGCUUAGAUAUGGCACAGAACACCAAUUGCGAAGGCAGCUCACUAAGGCGAUACUGACGCUGAGGCACGAAAGCGUGGGGAUCGAACAGGAUUAGAUACCCCUGUAGUCC
rnacentral:rRNA from 1 species